rnacentral:rRNA from 1 species
AUUGAACGCUGGCGGCGUGCUUAACACAUGCAAGUCGAACGCGAAAGGGACUUCGGUCCUGAGUAAAGUGGCGCACGGGUGAGUAACGCGUGGAUAAUCUGCCCUUAUGAUCGGGAUAACAGUUGGAAACGGCUGCUAAUACCGGAUACGCUCAAAAUGAACUUUUUGAGGAAAGAUGGCCUCUGCUUGCAUGCUAUCACGUAAGGAUGAGUCCGCGUCCCAUUAGCUUGUUGGCGGGUAACGGCCCACCAAGGCAACGAUGGGUAGCCGAUUUGAGAGGAUGAUCGGCCACACUGGAACUGAAACACGGUCCAGACUCCUACGGGAGGCAGCAGUGGGGAAUAUUGCGCAAUGGGCGAAAGCCUGACGCAGCGACGCCGCGUGAGGGAUGAAAGGUUUUCGGAUCGUAAACCUCUGUCAGAAGGGAAGAAACUACGUUGUGCUAAUCAGCAGCGUACUGACGGUACCUUCAAAGGAAGCACCGGCUAACUCCGUGCCAGCAGCAGC